UUCCCAAGAUGACAGACCAUAACUGCAUCGCCUUUUGGAACGUGAAAAGCAGAUCGUGGCAAGGCUCAAGAAAACAGUGACCAUUUGGAUCCUGGAGAGAAGCCCGACUGCUUCAUUAAAGAAGAGUUGUCACAUGCUUGUUUCUUAAAUCCUGCUAAAUACCUGCUUAGCAGCGUUAUUGACAGGCUUUUCUCAUGAACACUGAGCUGUUAAGCUGCUCCUAGUUUACAGCAAGAGGUUAAAGGAUUUUUCAAAGCUCCCAAUGAAAGCCUUACUAACUGGAUUAACCGCUAACAUGGAUUUAGGCUUUGAGUCAGAUUAACCUCAGUUGUUCAAAGUAGGUUCCUCUUGCUCGUUCCUUCUUCCCUUUUUCUUCUCUUUUUUUUCCCUCUCAGCUUUAACCUCUUUGUUUAUCAGGAAUAAUGGAAAUAAAAUAGUCUCUUGUGCUUGUGUUUGAGCAGGGGGUCACCGUGUGCUCCUAGGGCUGGGAAGAACAGGGCUGCAGCUCCAGGAUGUGAAAUGAGACUGAAGCAGCAGCUUCACAGCGCCGGGGACCUGCAGUUAAUCUCAUUUACGCUGUACUUAAACGUGUACUUCUUUAGAUGUGAGGAGGACUUUUGCAUUAUCUGCUCUCCUGCUGAUUAUUUCUACUAUUGCGCUGCUUUCUGCACUAGGGUAUGCAUGCAUUUGCGAGCAGGCUACAGUCAGACCAUCCACUGCCUCAUUUGGAGGUGCUUUUCCCUGCUCACUACUGUGCAGGGGCAACGUUCCAGAGCUGCUUUCUGAAGUCAGAAUCUGUUUCAACUCAUUCCACAGUAGCUGCAGUGCAGGAAUCUCUUAGGAAGUGCUAAAGGAUAGUGUGUGGAGGAGCAGCACACACCAGUGUGGGCCCUCUUGCCCUACCAAACUGGCAUGCAUGUUGAUUCCCAGCCCAGAGCCAGCACUUCUAUUGUUUUUCUGUCAUCUGCUCACUGCAUCAUUCAGCCCUCUCAAUCAUCUUUUCGUCCCAGCUCACACAGGUUGUGUGGUGACAACAUGAGGCUCAGCACGUGGGGGUCAGGGCAAGGAAUCACAGUGCUUGGCUGUUCCUGGGGAGCGAGCCUUCAGCUGGGGCACUUUAGCAGUGCUGGUGUGUCCCUGGGAUAGAGCUCUCUCUCUCAUUUAAACCAAAAUAUAAGACAUCUCUGCGCAGUGUGUGUACUCCAUUUAAUAGCAGCUGAUGAAUUUAUCACCUAAAAUGCAUCCAGGGCCUCUUGCUCUGCUCUGUGGCUAUCCCCAUCUCACGCUGUUUCAACUCAUUGAGCUGACCCUGUUUUCUCAUUCCCCUUGAAUGUCGAUCAGCUCUCCUGUGUUUUUUUUAUGUGCGUGCUUCUUAAUCUCACAUCCUUUGACUCCCUCCCAGCUGCCUUUAUCCCAGUCUAAUCCAUUUGUAUCUGAAUCUCUGGCCCUCAUUUCUGAUUUUCCCUCCACCUCCUCACCCCCACCACUCAUCUCUCUAAUCUCCCAGCCCACCAUCUUCCCUCCAUUGCUGGGGGCAGCUCCUCCUCUCCCCCUCCCAGCAUAGCAGGACCCCUUGCUCUGCCCCAAACUUCUCUCAGCUGCUCAGCAUCAGCCUGGUCCCGACUCAUUGCUGCCAGGUGGUUCCCUCACAGAUUUCCUUUACUGAUUUCCUCCCAGCUCUCACUAUGCAUCCCUUAGGGGAACCUGUGUCACUCAUUCUGUGUGUUCCGUCAGCAAGUACUGAUUUCUUCAAAGCGAUCACUCCAGGUGUGUGACACAGUUAAUGCUGUCACCCAGAGGCUCUGCAGGACCUUUUCCAAAGUUUAAAUGAACUCUGAAGCAUGCAGUGCUGGCUCUGUGGUUGUGACUCACCUGGGCAGAAGGAUACUUCAACUUAAUCCCCGGAGGUUUGUCAUCAAAUAUCCUCAUUCGUGACCCCCCCCAAGGAAAAGGUAAAAGAGCUGCUUUUCAGUCUCUUCUGUCCAGGAGAUUCAGCACUUUCAGAAAUGAGUUGUUUGAAGAGGUCCCAAACACCUGUGCCCAGGAACCUGAAUUGAUCCUGUAAGCUUCCCAUGGAAAGAUCUAGACUCUCCAAGGACAUCUCAGUCUACCAGAGUGCAGCAGCCUGAAUUGUGCUGAAGUGGGCAAAUUAAGGGAAUAAGGGCGUGCUGCAACCAUCAGCAGAAGUGUAAUUGGCUCUUCCCAUGUGCCUGCCAUCACAAGCUUCAUAGCAGAUAGAAAAUGAGAAACUAAUCCUCCUGCUGGCACAGCUUUGGCUCUACAUUCACUUCUGUGUCGGAGGUGACCACUGUGCUGCGUGCUGACCUCCUGCACACAGCCAUGGGGCUCAUUUACUGAUGCUGGAGAAUUCUGUCUCCUGGAGACCUGGCCAAUGUGAUCAGAAGAACUCACAGGUGGUAUUGUAGAAAAGGUUUG